GAGCCGCUCGCUGCAGCCUGUAGGAAGGCGGAGUUGGACAUCCAACCCCGCCCACAUCCAACUCCGCCCAUGUCCAACUCCGCCUUACGUCUAAAGCAACACCCACCUUACGUCCGUCACGAACGCCUACAUUUACUCCAGGUAAACAGGAAUUGUAGCCGAGAAAGCAGCUAAAGCAUCUAUCUGAUUUAUAUCUCCGGUUAUGGCGCAUCCAACACAUGUCCAGGCCACUCCUGACCCUUCACGGUUUGGCCAGUGUGGUGUUUUCAAAUGCCCCUGCUUCAGUUUUGACACUGACCAGCGAUUUAAUAACAGCCUACAUCUACAAAACCAUAUCAAACAAGCAGUCGAGAAUAACGGAAAGUUCAGCGUGUUGAACGUGUGACUGAUGAAGGAGAUAGAAUGGGCAACGUCUCCUUUGAACAGAUGCCCCUUAUUCUCAUAGAUACAGUUCUGGAUGAGGGUGACAAAGCUUUUUUAAAGCUGUCACUGGUUUGUCGUCUCUUCCGGGACAUUGUUUGGACAACAAUCAUUCCGGGCCCGGGCACAUUUCGAGUGGCUUGACAGUGUAGUGCCAUGAAAACAUCACAGUGCUGCAUGUAAAGACGAGUUUCGCAGGAUGUACGAACUGCAGUGCUGCCAGAACUGUCAAGAAACUUAUAAAGACUACAUACUGGGCUACGUUGGGCAUGGGAGACGAGGGGAGCUUGUGGCAUUUUACAGCGAAAACGAGCACCCUGGAUUCUGCAGCCAGCUUCAUGAAUGGCUGGGUGUGUGAGUGGCUGGGUGUGUGAGUGGCUGAGUGUGAGUGGCUGGGUGUUGCAUUUUUAAAUAAAGACUUCUGUAUUUGUUUGACCAAAGCAUGUAACCAAACAUUUUAAAGGCUAGUGUGCCAAUAAAUGCCAAUAAAGAUAUUGUAUUAGCUUGGACAAA